rnacentral:lncRNA from 1 species
AAAGGAUCUUAUCUCUUUACCUAUUAAACGUAUAUAUUGGUUUACUUUAUACGUACGUAAAUUUAUGGGUUUCAUCUAAGUGUGUCAGAUGACCUCAUUCACAUUUUGCUUUCAUAUCUUCCUUUGUCCUCUUCUCCCAUAUCAUCGACCCACACUUGUAUUUUUCCUUUGGACUUUUUUGCUUCUUGUUUUUUGUUUUC